UUGUAAGAAGUGCAGCCACGUUUUGAGACAAUGAAACAGGUUCAGGAAAGUGACUGGUUAGAAAAUAUUACUCUCUUCGUUUAUUUCCAGGCCUACAAAA
rnacentral:snoRNA from 1 species